GGUAGUUUAGCUUAAUCGGUUAAAGCACCGUGACACGUAAUCACGGAGGUGUGAGUUCGCAUCUCAUAGCUGGUC
rfam:Octopus bimaculoides Scaffold12007_contig_186, whole genome shotgun sequence.